rnacentral:lncRNA from 1 species
UUUCCCUUUCUCCUAGCCAAAAGUUAGGUUGAUGAUUUGUUAAUCACAGUGUACAUAUAUAUCUCCUAAAUCCUUGGAAAAGAAGACUAUUAGAUAGCAAAAAACAAUGCUCAUCCAUCUAGGUAUAGAAUUGUAACACAAGCAAUUGGCCAUGAUUAAGAAAUUACUAAUAAUGUUAGGUUUUCUUACCAUAAGCUGUAGCCGACAUGUGCACCUCGCUGUGUAGAAGUGGCAGCAUCCGAUGGCUCUUGGCUUCACGUUUGUGCCGCGAUUCGAAACUGUAAGCCGAUGAGAGGGAAGAGAUUUUAGGGAAGGGCGGCGAGGGCAAUAGGGAGUCGAGGGAAGAGAGAGAGGGAGGACUAGGAAAAGGCCUUGUGGUAGCAACUGCAUCGUGAAAUGGAAACAGAGAAGUGUGUUUAUGGUGGUCGAUGUGUAUA